CUACGGGUGGCUCCAGUGAGGAAUUUUCUGCAAUGGGCGCAAGCCUGACAGAGCGACGCCGUGUGUGGGAUGAAGUCUUUCGGGAUGUAAACCACUGUCAGAGGGGACGAUAUUGACGGUACCCUCAGAGGAAGCCCCGGCUAACUACGUGCCAGCAGCCGCGGUAAUACGUAGGGGGCAAGCGUUGUCCGGAAUCAUUGGGCGUAAAGGGCGCGUAGGCGGUCCAGCAAGUCAGAUGUUAAAUCUGCAGGCUUAACCUGCAGCCGCAUUUGAUACUGCCGGACUAGAGAAUGGUAGAGGUAAGCGGAACUGCCGGUGUAGCGGUGAAAUGCGUAGAUAUCGGCAGGAACACCAGUGGCGAAGGCGGCUUACUGGGCCAUUUCUGACGUUGAGGCGCGAAAGCCAGGGGAGCAAACGGGAUUAGAUACCCGGGUAAUC
rnacentral:rRNA from 1 species